ACACAUUCUGGAACAUUAGGCUAGUUUGGGUAGACAUUUGAAGCGUGCUGCUAAAAUACACUCACAGUUGACAAUCUUUACUCAGUUGGAUAUUUGUAACAUAUAUAUAUUUUUCUUCAAAAUAAUGCUUCUUUUCAAGAAUAUGGCUGGUAUUGAUCUGUAUAUCUUUAUAACUUUAAAAAAAAUGAUUGUCAUAACAUGCUUGAUCAUUGUAUCUCCCAUGCCAGUGAUGUCAUCGUCCUCUGAUGUUAUGUCUUCGUCCUUUGAUGUGAUGUCAUCGUCCUUUGAUGUGAUGACAUCGUCCUUUGAUGUGAUGACAUCAUCCUUUGAUGUUUUCACACAUUCUGGAACAUUAGGCUAGUUUGGGUAGAUAUUUGAAGCGUGCUGCUAAAAUACACUCACAGUUGACAAUCUUUACUCAGUUGGAUAUUUGUAACAUAUAUAUAUUUUUCUUCAAAAUAAUGCUUCUUUUCAAGAAUAUGGCUGGUAUUGAUCUGUAUAUCUUUAUAACUUUAAAAAAAAUGAUUGUCAUAACA